CCAUCCAUCCAUCCAUCCAUCCAUCCAUCCAUCGAAACUUUUCAGUUCAUCUUGUUGAAUCCAGAGGAUUCUGAGACCAGAUGGGUGAUAUAUAGUCCCAUCUUCUGCCACUCCUUCUCUCUACUUUUUCCCAUCUUUGCUCAUGCUGACAUUUCAAAACACGACUGCUUUAAAGAGGAAGGAUUAUUGCAUUUUCAGGAUUCCAAAAGAGUGAAAGUAUGCGUCAGACGGGAGACAUUGCAAUACUGCCAAAAAGUGUUUGGUAUUUUCGGCCAAAUAUAAAAAUACUUAUAGGUAAGAGGCUCGGCACUUUAGUCAGUGUCUUUGCAGCAACCCUUUUUCCUGAAAUAGGUAGCAGGAGUAAAAAAAAGAACAAUCAAAAAAAAACACUAACCUGUAUUUUAUUUAUUGGGAUCUCAGAAAGCCACACCCAGUGAUGGUAUUGUACAGCAAAACAUUAUUAGCUUGCAUUGUUAAUGAUAGGAAGCUUAGCCAGUGAGUGGAACAAUAGCUGUAGUUAAGUUGGAUGUGAUGUAAUUCCCACAUCCAAAAUUUAUUUCCAGAAGUAAACAAGAUUUUAUGUACAAACCUACUAGAAGCAUUCUGUUGGUCAAAUCCAAAAAUCCUGGACAAAAUCUGAUAAAAUUCUGAAUGAUUUAAAGCUUGCUCUCCGAGGUGUACAGAAAGAUGAUUUAUUAACAGUAAUUUCACUGACUAGGCAUUGAUAAUAAAAGGUUUGAAAUUCAUCUGCAGCGUCUCUUUAAUUUUUCAUCUCUUAUCUCUGUCUCUUGAGGAUACUCUUCAUGCCUGUGGUCAUGGCCCUAGAGACUCUGGAUUCCUACUGCUAAACAAUUCAUUGACUUAGCCUUGUAUAAAUCUGCCUGGGUGGGAAACAAUUUGUGGGUGAUUACAUGUUUCUUGCAUUCAUUCCAGUGGAUUCAGCAUACUCCCGUUGGAUUUACAUAUUCACAAAGCUUCAUGAAAUCUCUAAACGGAUAACUUUUUUUGUUCUGUCCAUAAAAUAAUCAAAGAUGUAUGACUUUCAGAUUUCUCACUUAAAAGUUUAACAUCAUUUUAUGUUCCAACCAAGCCAGGUGAUUUCAUUUUGCCUACUGAUCUCAGAGGUCAGAGAGCGUGUAUGGUUAGGGGCCGGGGUAAUAACUUACUGAGGUCACACACUCCUCUAAAACAGCAAAACAAGCCCCACAUCAAGGGAGCUUUGAGAAGGAAAUGAGCAACAAAAGAGAAGCACACAGCAGGAGUCGGUGAAGCCACAUUUCCAAUUUAUUAAUAUAUUUCAAAAUAACACACACUUAUAGUGGCUUGUGAGAAAGUUUUGAGUGAAAGACACGGUGGCUGGUAGAUGGUUUAUUUUCUUAAAUUUUUAAAAUGUAUAAAAUAAAGGAGUGGUUUGAGUUAUAUAAAAGCUGAAAUCUGAAUGAGAACAUUGCAUUUUUAACAGCAAAAAUGGAACUGGUGCUUUGGCUAAAAAAAAAAAAAAAAAAAAAAAACCCAUCCUUGACUCUGAGGUUGUCGUUUUCAUUCAGACUUUGGUUUUCUUUCAUCUAAAAGCAAGCUCCGCUGACCAAAGAGCUAUUUUAAUACCGGACACACAGGCUGGAACUCCCAAGCUUGAAGCAAACACUGCUCUAAUGGACAUAACAUUACCCAGUGAGAAAAUGAAAACGCUAAAACACAAUACAAGUAAUGCAAUGCAGAAAGAGAGCUUCAUGUGGUUGUAAAUAAUAGUCUGGAGUUGUUUCAACAAUAACAGCCCUCUGAAACCAGAGCCAUAUUAACAAACCUCUAGAUUUCCCCUCACUGAAAGGAUGUUUUUCUCUCCGCUCCGUUGGGAAACACUGUUGUAGUGAUGGGAUAAGUUGUCACAUUUAGCUAGUUGUGUACAACGUGGAGGUCCAUCUUGCUUCAAUUAAAAGCUCCAACACGUCUGGUUUUGAUUAGGGGGUCCUGGCAAACCCAAGGUGAUUCCUUUCUUAAUGAAAACCACCAUAGAGGUUGAGCAGUGCUAAAAAAACUGGCUAACAAAGAAUAAUAGUUGAGCAGAGAAGGUAUCAUGCUCUCAUCCUUCUUCCUAGGCCGUUUCCUUCCUUCUGGCCUAUAUAGUUUAUACGCCAGAUGGACAGACAUAACAAUAACUUGGGUGAUGGGGCAAGGCGCUGAAUGGUUAAUGAAAUACAUCCGUCUCCUUCUAACACUUCUUUAUCCGCUUCAUUCCUGCAGAUUUUGCGUCAUUCCCUGCUUGUUCAUUCACCUCGCUCUUCUCCAUCCCUUUAAGCUUCGUGUGGGUUUCUGUGAAGCCACUCUGUCUCACCAGAAGCAGACUUCUGCUUCUGCUUAGAGGGCCUGAAGAUUUGCUCCAGAGCGUUGGUCUGUUUUCUGAGAUUUGACACUGAACCAUUGGUUUCCAUCCUUGGCCACACAGUCACCUCAUCCCUCAUCAGGAGACCAAUGGUAUUUAUUAUUUCCAAUACCACUACAUCUUAUCUUGCGACCUUGUCACACUGUAAGUUCAAAUUCCAGGAGGACCACUACCACAGAUGCUGAAUUUAAACUGUUAGGCUAGUUGCACAUGCUGAGACUGACAAAGCUCUUCAGUGAAGAGGGUCUUCAGCAAGGAGGGAGGUAAUGGGUAACUGACAGACAGUGACAGGAUAAUGUAUGGCCCUCUAGUAUCAUAUACGUCACAGUAUGCUUCAGUAGCCACAAGACUUUCUCUAACACUGUGUUUUGGCCUCUGUAAAGGUCAUGAAAAUGUGUUGCGGAACAGGAGUGGAGAAAUGUGUUUGGAGCCAAAGGCAGACGGAAAGUUUGGAUGGGAAAAGAUGCACACCGCAGUGUCGUCUCCUAACAUUGGGCGUUUCUCAAAAUGUGGUCUUCCAUAGGGCGGCACGGCUGUGUCUCACCGCCCUCCUUCUCAGAGCUCAAAGGAGAGGAAGCCUGGAGAAGACAGGACAAUGAAAUAUGACGAUGACAAACCCACAGACGGACUCCAUCUGAUAGACGUAAAAAGUAUUCAGGAUGCAUGAUGCAUUCUGGAUGCUGACAAAGACCCAUCCCAUCAUUGAAGAAUACAUUUCAAAAGAAAAAAGGAAUAAUUAAGGCUCAAAACGUGAUGAAGACCAAAUUGAACAAUGUGUGUAAUGUGAGUAAUGUCUGGGAUCUUGCUUAGAAGUCCAUGAAAAUGUGUAAUCAUAAAGCCUUUGAAAGAAAAAAACUUAAACCGUGAAUUUUAUCUCUGACCAUCAGUUUGCAUGUGCUCAUUGUUAAUAAAUCUGAACUCAGCUCAUGAAGCAGCUGCAACUACUCAAGCCAACAUCUGAGCUAAAAUAAGGUCACAAGCAUAAAACAACUACAAACAAAACCUAAGAAGUAAAUACAUCAGCACAAGCAAUAAACAAACUACAAGACAUAAUGUGACGGAUAAACAGGCAAAAGACAUAAAGAUAGCUUGCUAGCAUCAAAAUCAUUUUCUUUACUGCAGACAUGAAAUACUUUUAAAUCAUAUCAUGUCAUCUUAUUUUCGUAGAGCAGGGUCAGUUUCAGUUUUUAGGCCACAAAUUAGGCCACAAAGAAAGGCUUAUUGAUAAGAAGGAUGAACAAUCAAAAAUCUACAGAAUCCAACUUCCCACCUUCACCUUAGAGAACUGAGGUCAUUUUUUCCCCUUUCUGUAUUGAUUUUAAUCCUCUUUUACACUAAGUAUUGCGCCUCAAAACUAUUUAGACCCCUUUAACGUCUUUAUAUUUAGUCGCUUCACAAACACAAAAUUACAUCUCUGUGACAGACAUUUAGCAGUAUGUUUCUGAAAGCUGUGCACAUUAAGAAACGGAAACAUUUCCCAUUGUUUUUAAAAUCGCUCAAGCUCAGUCAGAAUUGGACGUUGGCCACGGCUCACCACCGUGUUUCACCAUGUGAAUGUGUGUUGGGGUUAUUUGUUGUUCACGUUGGUCAAGACGUUUUGGUAAAUAUUGGUAUUUUCUCCCCACAUAUCCUUCUUCCACGUGUUUACCAAGCCUCUAAAUGGCUUAUGGAGAGUUUUAAGUAUUUAUGGUUAUCUUAAAAUUGGCUUUUUUCUUGCCUCUCUCCU